UGUAACUCAGGUUGGUAGAGUGUUGGUCUUUUAAACCUGAAUGCGUGGGUUCAAUCCCCACCAA
rnacentral:tRNA from 1 species